rnacentral:rRNA from 2 species
UAAAUGGCCGCAGUAAUCUGACUGUGCAAAGGUAGCAUAAUCAUUUGUUUAAUAAUUUUAAACUAGAAUGAAAGGAACAAAGUAUACUAACUGUUAAUUAAAAUUUAACAUAAAUCUUUGGCUGAGUGCAAAAACUUAGAAUAAAAAUAUAAACGAGAAGACCCUGGGAAUUUUAAUAUUUUUAUUGGGAUAAUAUAAAACCAUACUUAGCUAAGCAACAAAUAACAUUAAUAAAAAGAAAUUACCCCAGGGAUAACAGCACAAUAGUCAUUAAGAGACCUAAUCUCAGUGAUUGAUUAUGACCUCGAUGUUGAAUCAUUUGUACAUAUAGUUUGCAGAAGAAUUUUAUUCUCGUCUGUUCGACGAUAGACAUUACGUGA